UACGGAAUUAGACCCAGCCCGUUGUAGUCUAGAAAGUAGUUCUUUUAAAUUUUGAAAUGGCCUAUUUCAUAUCAUCUUAAUUGAUACUGGUUAUAUUUUAAGUAUAUCUUUAGUAAUUAUGUACAUGAAGUUUCAUUUCUGAGUACUUUAAAGGUUGUUUUUUAUGUAUUUUUGCAGGAUUUCAUUUCUGGGUGGAAGGUUUCAUGAGGCACUAUGCACAAGAAUACACACCAGUUACUAUUUGGAAUAUUCUAUAGUGAUUACAGAAAUUAAAAGCUGCAGAAAAACUCCAAGGGCUAAUGUAUUAUUUUUUUGUGCUAAAUUUACUUGGACUGCAUUGGUGUUUAAAGAAAUGGUCAUGAAGUUUCGGUACCGGAUUUGUUUUGUCCAGAAUUUAGCCUUAAAUGUGAUGGAUUUACUAUAGGAUAUAUGGGUCGAAAAUUCAGUAGGCCGUGUCCUAAAUGUAACAGGUUAAAAUGGGAUUUCUAAGGAACUACUUGGAAUAAAGUGAUGAAACUUCACCUACUGGUAAUGCUUGUGGAUAGCAAUCUGAAUUUUAAAGGAUAACAGUCAGGAUGAAUACCAUGUGUGGGUAGAUAGGAAGAGUUAUACCACCAAUCACCAAUAUUUCCUACACCGGAACAAACUAGGGAUUCCUCUGGACAGAACUUACAGCUACCAGCAUAACACUCUAAUGUAGCUAUACGGAUUGUCAGUAAGCCUAAGACUUUUCUGUGAGCAAAGCACUGGUUUUGAGGAAGUUCAUACCUGAUUUUGGCUGAGAUGUAUGCAAGAACUACUGUUGGUUUGUUCGGCAGCGUUCAAGUGAGGAGGAUUUCAUUUCUGGGUGGAAGGUUUCAUGAGGCACUAUGCACAAGAAUACACACCAGUUACUAUUUGGAAUAUUCUAUAGUGAUUACAGAAAUUAAAAGCUGCAGAAAAACUCCAAGGGCUAAUGUAUUAUUUUUUUGUGCUAAAUUUACUUGGACUGCAUUGGUGUUUAAAGAA